AGAGUUUGAUCCUGGCUCAGAACGAACGCUGGCGGCAGGCCUAACACAUGCAAGUCGAGCGAGGACUUCGGUUCUAGCGGCGGACGGGUUAGUAACGCGUGGGAACGUACCCUUUUCUACGGAAUAGCCUCGGGAAACUGAGAGUAAUACCGUAUACGCCCUUUGGGGGAAAGAUUUAUCGGAGAAGGAUCGGCCCGCGUUAGAUUAGAUAGUUGGUGGGGUAAUGGCCUACCAAGUCUACGAUCUAUAGCUGGUUUGAGAGGAUGAUCAGCAACACUGGGACUGAGACACGGCCCAGACUCCUACGGGAGGCAGCAGUGGGGAAUCUUAGACAAUGGGCGCAAGCCUGAUCUAGCCAUGCCGCGUGAGUGAAGAAGGCCUUAGGGUCGUAAAGCUCUUUCGCCUGUGAAGAUAAUGACUGUAGCAGGUAAAGAAACCCCGGCUAACUCCGUGCCAGCAGCCGCGGUAAUACGGAGGGGGUUAGCGUUGUUCGGAAUUACUGGGCGUAAAGCGCGCGUAGGCGGACAUUUAAGUCAGAGGUGAAAUCCCAGGGCUCAACCCUGGAACUGCCUUUGAUACUGGGUGUCUUGAGUUCGAGAGAGGUGAGUGGAAUUCCGAGUGUAGAGGUGAAAUUCGUAGAUAUUCGGAGGA
rnacentral:rRNA from 1 species